UCCCUGGUAGCUCAGGUGGUAAAGAACCCACUUGCAAUGUGGGAGACCCAGGUUUGAUCCCUGGGUGAGGAA
rnacentral:tRNA from 1 species